CCAAUGUCAAAGCUUUUUCUGCACGUUAGUCACUUUGACACCAAUGCAUGGAAAAACAGGGUCCAGGUUGUAAACAAAGAAAAUGUAGUUA